GCAGACACAUUCCAGCCAAUCAGCAGCAGACCCUCCCUCCAAGACCCUCCCACCUCCUGGACAGCAUCCAUUUUAUAUUCAUUGUGAAGCUGCAUUCUUAGUGAGCUGUCCAGGAGGUGAGAGGGUCUGGGAGGGAGGGUCUGCUGCUGAUUGGCUGGAAUGUGUCUG
rnacentral:miRNA from 1 species